CAUGGGGAUUUUGCUGGUGUAUGACGUCACUGAUGAAUCAUCUUUUAACAGUAAAUUCACCUUUUGUGUUUUGCACAAUAAGAGUUUUGUUGAAUAUGCUACUAUUAAUGUUUCUAUUUCAUCACAUCUAGUGAUUUGCAUUUUUCCUUUAUUUUGUUUAGUAAUCACUAAAAAUUCUUAUUCCCUGUUAUGUUGGGAUGAUUGAUGAAUGAUACAAAAUCUUUGAUAAAUUGGAGAUUCUUCACAUUAUGUAACUUUUUCUUCUAUAUUUGUGCAUUCAUCUCUUGCAUGCUUAUGGAUCUCGUUUCCCUUCAUGGUCAGAUAUCAGGAACUGGAUUCGCAAUAUUGAG
rnacentral:misc_RNA from 1 species